AUCCAGUUGAUGGGUCCCAAAUAAGACGAAAUGCUCAUACUGGAU
rfam:Trichobilharzia regenti genome assembly, scaffold: TRE_scaffold0036702